AACUUUGCACAGUGUUAGUAUUGUAGUCAAUGAGGUUUAUCUGAGGCACGAUUAUUGCUAGUUGAAGAUAAAAAUCUUAGGGGGGAACAAAACCAUAUUGGGAUUUUAAAAACCUAUAUCGCUGGGGAUUUAGCUCACUGGCACUGUGCUUGCCUCACAAGCACAAGGUCCUGAUUUCAAUCCCUGGUACCAGA
rnacentral:snRNA from 14 species